GACGAACCGAGCGAACGUUGUUCGGAAUCACUGGGCUUAAAGGGUGCGUAGGCGGCGCGGAAAGUUGGGUGUGAAAUCCCUCGGCUCAACCGAGGAACUGCGCCCAAAACUACCGUGCUCGAGGGAGAUAGAGGUGAGCGGAACUUAGGGUGGAGCGGUGAAAUGCGUUGAUAUCCUAAGGAACACCGGUGGCGAAAGCGGCUCACUGGAUCUCUUCUGACGCUGAGGCACGAAAGCUAGGGUAGCGAACGGG
rnacentral:rRNA from 1 species